rnacentral:rRNA from 1 species
UUAGCAUGGAAUAAUGGAAUAGGACGCGCGUUCCCAUUUUGUUGGUUUCCGAGAUCGCCGUAAUGAUUAAUAGGGAUAGUUGGGGGCAUUUGUAUUCCGUCGUCAGAGGUGAAAUUCUUGGAUUGCCGGAAGACAAACUAUUGCGAAAGCAUUUGCCAAGGAUGUUUUCAUUGAUCAAGAACGAAGGAAGGGGGAUCGAAAACGAUCAGAUACCGUUGUAGUCUCUUCUGUAAACUAUGCCAAUUGGGGAUUAGAUCAGGAUUUUUAAUGACUGAUUUAGCACCCGAAGAGAAAUCUUUAAAUGAGGUUCGGGGGGGAGUAUGGUCGCAAGGCUGAAACUUAAAGGAAUUGACGGAAGGGCACCACCAGGUGUGGAGCCUGCGGCUUAAUUUGACUCAACACGGGGAAACUCACCAGGUCCAGACACAAUAAGGAUUGACAGAUUAAUAGCUCUUUCUUGAUCUUGUGGUUGGUGGUGCAUGGCCGUUCUUAGUUGGUGGAGUGAUUUGUCUGGUUAAUUCCGAUAACGAACGAGACCUUAACCUGCUAAAUAGACCAGCCGGCUUUGGCUGGCUGCUGUCUUCUUAGAGGGACUAUCAGCGUUUAGCUGAUGGAAGUUUGAGGCAAUAACAGGUCUGUGAUGCCCUUAGAUGUUCUGGGCCGCACGCGCGCUACACUGACAGAGCCAGCGAGUCUACCACCUUGGCCGGAAGGCCUGGGUAAUCUUGUGAACUCUGUCCGUGAUGGGGAUAGAACAUUGCAAUUAAUGUCUUCAACGAGGAUACCUAGUAGCGUGAGUCAUCAGCUCGCGAUGAUUACGUCCCCUGCCCUUUGUACACACCGCCCGUCGCUACUACCCGAUGAAUGGCU